rnacentral:rRNA from 1 species
GGGACACGUGGUAUCCUGUCUGAAUAUGGGGGGACCAUCCUCCAAGGCUAAAUACUCCUGACUGACCGAUAGUGAACCAGUACCGUGAGGGAAAGGCGAAAAGAACCCCGGCGAGGGGAGUGAAAAAGAACCUGAAACCGUGUACGUACAAGCAGUGGGAGCACGCUUAGGCGUGUGACUGCGUACCUUUUGUAUAAUGGGUCAGCGACUUAUAUUCUGUAGCAAGGUUAACCGAAUAGGGGAGCCGAAGGGAAACCGAGUCUUAACUGGGCGUUAAGUUGCAGGGUAUAGACCCGAAACCCGGUGAUCUAGCCAUGGGCAGGUUGAAGGUUGGGUAACACUAACUGGAGGACCGAACCGACUAAUGUUGAAAAAUUAGCGGAUGACUUGUGGCUGGGGGUGAAAGGCCAAUCAAACCGGGAGAUAGCUGGUUCUCCCCGAAAGCUAUUUAGGUAGCGCCUCGUGAAUUCAUCUCCGGGGGUAGAGCACUGUUUCGGCAAGGGGGUCAUCCCGACUUACCAACCCGAUGCAAACUGCGAAUACCGGAGAAUGUUAUCACGGGAGACACACGGCGGGUGCUAACGUCCGUCGUGAAGAGGGAAACAACCCAGACCGCCAGCUAAGGUCCCAAAGUCAUGGUUAAGUGGGAAACGAUGUGGGAAGGCCCAGACAGCCAGGAUGUUGGCUUAGAAGCAGCCAUCAUUUAAAGAAAGCGUAAUAGCUCACUGGUCGAGUCGGCCUGCGCGGAAGAUGUAACGGGGCUAAACCAUGCACCGAAGCUGCGGCAGCGACGCUUAUGCGUUGUUGGGUAGGGGAGCGUUCUGUAAGCCUGCGAAGGUGUGCUGUGAGGCAUGCUGGAGGUAUCAGAAGUGCGAAUGCUGACAUAAGUAACGAUAAAGCGGGUGAAAAGCCCGCUCGCCGGAAGACCAAGGGUUCCUGUCCAACGUUAAUCGGGGCAGGGUGAGUCGACCCCUAAGGCGAGGCCGAAAGGCGUAGUCGAUGGGAAACAGGUUAAUAUUCCUGUACUUGGUGUUACUGCGAAGGGGGGACGGAGAAGGCUAUGUUGGCCGGGCGACGGUUGUCCCGGUUUAAGCGUGUAGGCUGGUUUUCCAGGCAAAUCCGGAAAAUCAAGGCUGAGGCGUGAUGACGAGGCACUACGGUGCUGAAGCAACAAAUGCCCUGCUUCCAGGAAAAGCCUCUAAGCAUCAGGUAACAUCAAAUCGUACCCCAAACCGACACAGGUGGUCAGGUAGAGAAUACCAAGGCGCUUGAGAGAACUCGGGUGAAGGAACUAGGCAAAAUGGUGCCGUAACUUCGGGAGAAGGCACGCUGAUAUGUAGGUGAAGUCCCUCGCGGAUGGAGCUGAAAUCAGUCGAAG